rnacentral:SRP_RNA from 1 species
GCCAAGCACAGUGGUGUGUGCCUGUAAUCCCAGCUACUUGGGAGGCUCAGGCAGAAGGAUCACUUGAGCCCAGGAGUUCUGGACUGUAGUACACUAUGAUCACACCUGUGAAUAGGCACUGCACUCCAGCCUGGGCAAUGUAGCAAGACCCUCCCCC